rnacentral:lncRNA from 1 species
GUUUAGAUAGUGGGCCGGUUUUUUAAGGUUUAUUGUUUUACUGUUUUAGCCUUGAUUUUUUCCCUAUAUAUUUUAUCCGAAAAUUGUUUUCUGUUUUCUUUUUUUUCGGCUUUGUUGUUUCCUUUUUUUUCCGUAUAUUUUUGUUUGCUUUUUUCUUCCAUUUUGUUUCCUUUUUUUUCGUAUGAGUGGAUCUCCUCUAAUUUUAGUAUGUGGUCGAAAAUAUACUCAUUCAUCCUUGUUGGGUUAUUAUUAUUAUUAUUAUUAUUA